UACGUAGGGGGCAAGCGUUAUCCGGAUUUACUGGGUGUAAAGGGAGCGUAGACGGCAUGGCAAGUCAGAUGUGAAAGCCCGGGGCUCAACCCCGGGACUGCAUUUGAAACUGUCAGGCUGGAGUGCAGGAGAGGUAAGUGGAAUUCCUAGUGUAGCGGUGAAAUGCGUAGAUACUAGGAGGAACACCAGUGGCGAAGGCGGCUUACUGGACUGUAACUGACGUUGAGGCUCGAAAGCGUGGGGAGCAAACAGG
rnacentral:rRNA from 1 species